rnacentral:rRNA from 1 species
AUUGAACGCUGGCGGCAGGCCUAACACAUGCCGUCGAGCGGCAGCGACUUAACUGAACCUUCGGGGAACGUUAAGGGCGGCGAGCGGCGGACGGGUGAGUAAUGCCUGGGAAUAUGCCUCAGUGUGGGGGAUAACUAUUGGAAACGAUAGCUAAUACCGCAUAAUCUCCGAUCUUUUACGAGAUGGGAGCAAAGCGGGGGACCUUCGGGCCUCGCGCGCUGAGAUUAGCCCAGGUGGGAUUAGCUUGUUGGUGAGGUAAUGGCUCACCAAGGCAACGAUCCCUAGCUGGUCUGAGAGGAUGAUCAGCCACACUGGAACUGAGACACGGUCCAGACUCCUACGGGAGGCAGCAGUGGGGAAUAUUGCACAAUGGGGGAAACCCUGAUGCAGCCAUGCCGCGUGUGUGAAGAAGGCCUUCGGGUUGUAAAGCACUUUCAGUAGGGAGGAAGGUAGUGUAGUUAACACCUGCAUUAUUUGACGUUACCUACAGAAGAAGCACCGGCUAACUCCGUGCCAGCAGCCGCGGUAAUACGGAGGGUGCGAGCGUUAAUCCGAAUUACUGGGCGUAAAGCGCAUGCAGGCGGCCUGUUAAGUCAGAUGUGAAAGCCCGGGGCUUAACCUCGGAAUUGCAUUUGAAACUGGCAGCUAGAGUCUUGUAGAGGGGGGUAGAAUUUCAGGUGUAGCGGUGAAAUGCGUAGAGAUCUGAAAGAAUACCAGUUGGCGAAGCGGCCCCCUGGACAAAGACUGACGCUCAAUGCGAAAGCGUGGGGAGCAAACAGG